GGAAUUACUGGGCGUAAAGGGCUCGUAGUGGUUUGUCGCGUCGUCUGUGAAAUUCCGGGGCUUAACUCCGGGCGUGCAGGCGAUACGGGCAUAACUUGAGUACUGUAGGGGUAACUGGAAUUCCUGGUGUAGCGGUGAAAUGCGCAGAUAUCAGGAGGAACACCGAUGGCGAAGGCAGGUUACUGGGCAGUUACUGACGCUGAGGAGCGAAAGCAUGGGUAGCGAACAGGAUUAGAUACCCUGGUAGUCCAUGCCGUAAACGGUGGGCGCUAGGUGUGAGGGUCUUUUCACGACUUUCGUGCCGUAGCUAACGCAUUAAGCGCCCCGCCUGGGGAGUACGGCCGCAAGGCUAAAACUCAAAGGAAUUGACGGGGGCCCGCACAAGCGGCGGAGCAUGUGGAUUAAUUCGAUGCAACGCGAAGAACCUUACCUGGGCUUGACAUACACCGGAUUGGGCUAGAGAUAGUCUUUCCCUUUGUGGCUGGUGUACAGGUGGUGCAUGGUUGUCGUCAGCUCGUGUCGUGAGAUGUUGGGUUAAGUCCCGCAACGAGCGCAACCCUUGUCUUAUGUUGCCAGCAUUUGGUUGGGGACUCAUGAGAGACUGCCGGGGUCAACUCGGAGGAAGGUGGGGAUGACGUCAAAUCAUCAUGCCCCUUAUGUCCAGGGCUUCACACAUGCUACAAUGGUCGGUACAACGCGCAGCGACACUGUGAGGUGGAGCGAAUCGCUGAAAGCCGGCCUUAGUUCGGAUUGGGGUCUGCAACUCGACCCCAUGAAGUCGGAGUCGCUAGUA
rnacentral:rRNA from 1 species